rnacentral:rRNA from 1 species
UGAACCUGCGGAAGGAUCAUUAUUGAAUGAACUUGGCGUGGUUGUUGCUGGCCCUCUCGGGGGCAUGUGCACACCCGCCAUCUCCAUCUCUCCACCUGUGCACCUCUUGUAGACUGGAAUAGACUUUCCGAGGCAACUCGGUCGGGAGGAAUGCUGUCGCUUUGCGUCGGCUUUCUUUGCACUUCCAAGCCUAUGUUUUUCAUAUACCCGUAGUAUGUAACAGAAUGUAUCAUUUGGGCCUCAGUGCCUAUAAACCAUAUACAACUUUCAGCAACGGAUCUCUUGGCUCUCGCAUCGAUGAAGAACGCAGCGAAAUGCGAUAAGUAAUGUGAAUUGCAGAAUUCAGUGAAUCAUCGAAUCUUUGAACGCACCUUGCGCUCCUUGGUAUUCCGAGGAGCAUGCCUGUUUGAGUGUCAUUUAAUUCUCAACCUUAUUAGCUUUUGCUGAUAAUGGCUUGGAUGUGGGGGUUCUCUUUUGCUGGCUUCUUUUCAUAGAGGUCAGCUCCCCUGAAAUGCAUUAGCUGGUGCCCCGCGUGGACUGUCUAUUUGGUGUGAUAAUUAUCAACGCCGUGGAUGUCUGCAAUUGGUUUUGGCACUGCUUCUAACUGUCUGUUCAUUUGGACAACACAUGACAAUUUGACCUCAAUCAGGU